GAUUCUAUGGGUGGAGUGAUUUGUCUGGUUAAUUCCGUUAACCAACGAGAUCUUGCCCGGUUAAAUUCAUUAUUCCUUAUCCCCAUUAUUCCUAUUGAAAAAUGGAAAUAUUGAGGAGCUGAAACCAUACAAGUCAGCUCAAGUUUCUUGGAGGAAAAAUGACCAUUGCGGAGCUACAAUCAUGGACAAAACA
rnacentral:rRNA from 1 species